rnacentral:rRNA from 1 species
UACGUAGGGGGCAAGCGUUGUCCGGAUUUAUUGGGCGUAAAGCGCACGCAGGCGGUCUCUUAAGUUUUGAGUGACAGGUGGUGGCUCAACUACCACAGGCCUUGGAAAACUGGGAGACUUGAGGACUUCAGAGGGAUGCGGAAUUCCAGGUGGAGCGGUGAAAUGCGUAGAGAUCUGGAAGAACACCAAAGGCGAAGGCAGCAUUCUGGGAAGUAGCUGACGCUCAUGUGCGAAAGCUAGGGGAGCGAACAGG